AGUACAUCGUUGUUAUGGAGAUGGGUCACCAUUCAAUUCACGAUUCCCCAAAGAUCUGUCAUUUUAGUGAUCGACAAAACUAAAAGGUUCAUGUUUUUUUCCUGAUCAUAUCAAACCGAAGUUUAUCAAACAGCUAGCAAAUCAAAAAGCAAGCCCAAAUUAUGACAUUGGACAUUAUUACAUAAU